AAUUCUCAACCAUCCUGUCUUUCUUUCGAGAGGCGGCGAUGCGUUGGAUGUGGGGACUUGCCUGUUUCUUACGAGACUUCGGCUUCCCUUAAAAGCAUUAGCUAGAGCGCUUCUGUUGACUAGCUGCUAGUGUGAUAAUUAUCUACACUGUGGCCAACGAAGGAAACUCUGCUUCUAAUCGUCUGCUUGCAGACAACUUCUGAUA
rnacentral:misc_RNA from 1 species